GUCCACGCCGUAAACGAUGGGUACUAGGUGUAGGGGGUAUAGACUCCCCCUGUGCCGUCGCUAACGCAAUAAGUACCCCGCCUGGGGAGUACGGUCGCAAGACUAAAACUCAAAGGAAUUGACGGGGCCCGCACAAGCAGCGGAGCAUGUGGUUUAAUUCGAGGCAACGCGAAGAACCUUACCUGGACUUGACAUCUCCUGAAUUACCCUUAACCGGGGAACCCUUCGGGGCAGGAAGACAGGUGGUGCAUGGUUGUCGU
rnacentral:rRNA from 1 species